rnacentral:misc_RNA from 1 species
GAUGAAGAACGUAGCAAAAUGCGAUAAGUAAUGUGAAUUGCAGAAUUCAGUGAAUCAUCGAAUCUUUGAACGCACAUUGCGCCCGCCAGUAUUCUGGCGGGCAUGCCUGUUCGAGCGUCAUUUCAACCCUCAAGCUCAGCUUGGUGUUGGGACUCGCGGUAACCCGCGUUCCCCAAAUCGAUUGGCGGUCACGUCGAGCUUCCAUAGCGUAGUAAUCAUACACCUCGUUACUGGUAAUCGUCGCGGCCACGCCGUUAAACCCCAACUUCUGAAUGUUGACCUCGGAUCAGGUAGGAAUACCCGCUGAACUUAAGCAUAUCAAUAAGCGGAGGA